rnacentral:rRNA from 1 species
UACGUAGGUGACCAGCGUUGUCCGGAUUUACUGGGCGUAAAGAGCGCGCAGGCGGUCGUUCAAGUCGAGUGUGAAAGCCCCCGGCUCAACUGGGGAGGGUCACUCGAUACUGAUCGACUUGAAGGCAGGAGAGGGAAGCGGAAUUCCCGGUGUAGUGGUGAAAUGCGCAGAUAUCGGGAGGAACACCGGUGGCGAAGGCGGUUCUCUGGGCCUGUACUGACGCUGAGGAGCGAAAGCGUGGGGAGCGAACAGG